UAUUCUUGCCUCAAUAAUGACAAACCCAGUGCUAAGCUUCCACACCAGGACCUCUCGAGACAAAUGGGGAGUAUUUCACCCACUCGAAUACAUUCAUAAAAAAAGUAUCAAUUUGCUCGCUCAAAAAAAACUAAAUUUGUUCGCAAAAGGCAUCCCUAAACACUUGGAUACAUGCAGUGCGGAAACAAUCCCCUCGCCCAGCAUCUCGGACAAACUCCCAUCAAGAUGAACACAUACCUGCACAGUUCCUGAUUUGUUACUCCAUGAAACAUACAAUUAUUUUCUUUCUAGAAUACACUUAAUAUUUAAAAAAAUAGGUAAACAUGUUUUAGCAAAUUCUCCCAUCCAUUUUAACAGCUUCUUUGAUGUUCCUUUCUUGCUCUGCAAUAAAUGAAGUACAGGUCCCGACGCCGCUUAAUCAUGCAGAGCUCAUAAUUUAGAAACUUUCCAGCCCAUUCGGUAACACCAUACAUGAUUAUCUCACAUUGCACAGCCUACAGAUGAUGAAACACGUUAAAGAUCGUCAGCUACAAUGGUUAAAGAUUGUACGCACAUAUAUAAAUUGAUAAUUAGGUUUUGAUAAAAAUCAAAACAGAGUACCAUAUCCUGUUGAGACCGUGAUGGCACAUACUGAAGUUCAUAGAUAUCUAAAAUUGCUAGGUUAUGAAUUAUCCUUUUGGAACGUUGCACACGUGCAAGUGCACAGUCAAACUAUGGGCCAGUUCUUUUGGGCGAUUCUACCAGAAUCGCCCCCCUCCGUAGCUUCUCCCAGAAUUAUCACUCCUUAUGUUUUUCACAAUCCUAGCUAAUUAGACCUUAACUAGAUAGGAUUGUAAAAAAAUAUGAAGUGGCGAUUCUUGAAGAAGCUGGGGAGGGGGGCGAUUCUGGGAGAAUCGCCGAAAAGAACUGGCCUAUAUGCAUCAACAUAUGACUCAAUUAUUCAUGACAUAUAGGACUGCCACGAGGAUCAAAUAGAUAACAAUUAUGAGCAAAUGGUGUUGUGUGACAUCUCCCAACUCGAUUAAUCAAAUUUUUUUGUUACUGAAUUAUCCAUAUGUGAAAAUUUCAAUGUAGAACUAAGUUAUUUUUGUAUAGAGAACUUCUUCCUUGGUUCGCAAAGAGGUUCAGCAGCCAUCCUAAAUGAGCAAUGAAACAUACCUUGAAUUACUUGAGCAAAGAAGAUGUGGAUUAGUGGUAAAGCUUCGCAAGCUGUUGCACUCGCCCAAACAAAUCAGAAACCAAAUCAGUUCUAAUUAAUCCGCUAAAAAAUAUAAGAAAAUAAAAUUCAAGAUUUACCAUCAAAUAGCUUGAAAUGUGAACAUGUGUGAAUCAAGAGAGGCCCAUUGUUUAAUCCAUUGCAAAUAUAUCGAGAAC
rnacentral:lncRNA from 1 species